AAGAAGUUAGUUAAAAUAUAACAUUAGUAUGUCAUACUAAAAUUAUUAAAUAUAAUACUCCUUU
rnacentral:tRNA from 1 species